UACAGAGGGUGCAAGCGUUGUUCGGAAUUAUUGGGCGUAAAGCGCGUGUAGGCGGCUUGGCAAGUCGGGUGUGAAAUCCCUCAGCUCAACUGAGGAAGUGCGCCCGAAACUGCUUAGCUUGAGUGCCGGAGAGGAUGGCGGAAUUCCCCAAGUAGAGGUGAAAUUCGUAGAUAUGGGGAGGAACACCGGUGGCGAAGGCGGCCAUCUGGACGGUAACUGACGCUGAGACGCAAAAGCGUGGGUAGCAAACAGG
rnacentral:rRNA from 1 species